GACGAACGCUGGCGGCGUGCCUAAUACAUGCAAGUCGAACGAGUGGAGGACGGGUUAGUAACACGUGGGAACCUACCCAUCAAAGGGGGAUAACUACUGGAAACGGUAGCUAAUACCGCAUACCUUCCCACUUGCCCAGAUGGGUUUAGCUUGUUGGUGGGGUAACGGGCAACCAGGGCGACGAUCCCUGGCUGGGCUGCGAGGAUGACAAGCCACACUGGAACUGAGAAACGGUCAAGACUCCUACGGGAGGCAGAGGUGGGGAAUAUUGCACAAUGGGCGCAAGCCUGAUGCAGCCAUGCCGCGUGUAGGAAGAAGGCCUGCGGGUUGUAAAGUACUUUCAGCGGGGAGGCGGUACCCGCAGAAGAAGCACCGGCUAACUCCGUGCCAGCAGCCGCGGUAAUAC
rnacentral:rRNA from 1 species